GGAAAACUCAAAUCCCGCAUAAAUCACCCUUACGAAUGCCCGUUACAUAUGAAUAGCACCAGAAACGCAUAUGAACUGCAGCAGAAACCACGCAUAGCGCGCUGCCAUAUACCAAAUUGAGCGUUUCUCCAAGCCAAAUCAGCCUCGGAUUCCUCUCCGGUCUCUCCGAGCCUGAGCCUACCACCGGCCGACUAACGCUAUAAAUACGAGCAGGAUCAGCUCAACGAGUUCAUGCAAACUCCAUCAGUAUUCCAUCUACUUAUAUGUAGCGAUUGCGAGAGAGAAUUUGAGAAUAUUAGAGAUUGAGAUCGAAGACCUCUUUCUCUUUCGGUGUUGAAUAUAAUGGAGCGUUCUAUCUCCGUGGCAACUGAAUCGAAUUCGGAGGAGAUCAAUCGUUCUUCUUCUUAUAUGCCUAAGAAGAUUCCUGGGGAGUCCAUUGGCCAAAUGGAAAAAAUUUCUGUCUUCCUGGGGCGUCCAUUGUCCCAAUGGAGGCUCCUCAUCAUUCACCUUCUCCCAAAGUACUUCCUGAUUGUAUUAAUCUGAGGAACACCAGAAGAUCGAGUACGGAUUUUGAAGGACUAUCUGAUCUCCGGUGGAUGAAGCAGACGAUUUUUGUUCCUUUCCCGGUGAUGGGACUCCGUCGACGUGCUUUGUAUAGGAUCCUCACAGGAGAAAAGUUUGUGUUCUUCAGAUGAGUGGAGAGGGUGUUUUUUUACGAUAUGCAAAGUUAGAGAUUGGAAGGCAGCGGAAUAAGAGGUUGCGCUUGGUGGAUAUGUAUGAUGAUACCAUUGUCUUCUUGUAAUGAAUAGGAGACGGCUACGCUGCUUCAUCAGUGGUUAUUGGUUUCUUCUCUGGUAGGCAAAUGUAAUCUGUGAGACUCGUGAGUGGAAUAAAGUUGAGAGCUAUUUACUAUUAUGCAAGUGCAAUAUGAAAUUUCAGUGAUUAUCUGAGG